GACGAACGCUGGCGGCGUGCCUAAUACAUGCAAGUAGAACGCUGAAGGAGGAGCUUGCUUCUCUGGAUGAGUUGCGAACGGGUGAGUAACGUGGAGGUAACCUUCCUGGUAGCGGGUGAUAACUGUUAGAAACGAUAGCUAAUACCGCAUAAGAUUGAGUGUUACAUGAGAGUCUGCUAAAAUGAGGAAUUGCAUCACUACCAGAUGGACUUGCGUUGUAUUAGCUGAAUGGGGGGGUCACGGCUCACCAAGGCGACGGGUCAUAGCCGACCUUAAGGGGUGAUCGGGCAAACUGGGAAUUGGAACACGCCCCGACUCCUAAGGGAGGCAGCAGUAGGGAAUCUUUGGAAAUGGACGGAAGUCUGACCGAGCAAAGGCGGGUGAGUGAAGGAGGUUUUCGGGUCGUAAAGCUCUGUUGUAAGAGAAGAACGAGUGUGAGAGUGGAAAGUUCACACUGUGACGGUAUCUUAAGAGAAAGGGACGGCUAACUACGUG
rnacentral:rRNA from 1 species